rnacentral:rRNA from 1 species
GACGAACGCUGGCGGCGUGCCUAAUACAUGCAAGUCGAACGCACUCUCGUUUAGAUUGAAGGAGUUUGCUCCUGAUUGAUAAACAUUUGAGUGAGUGGCGGACGGGUGAGUAACACGUGGGUAACCUGCCCUAAAGUGGGGGAUAACAUUUGGAAACAGAUGCUAAUACCGCAUAAAACCUAACACCGCAUGGUGUAGGGUUGAAAGAUGGUUUCGGCUAUCACUUUAGGAUGGACCCGCGGUGCAUUAGUUAGUUGGUGAGGUAAAGGCUCACCAAGACGGUGAUGCAUAGCCGACCGGAGAGGGUAAUCGGCCACACUGGGACUGAGACACGGCCCAGACUCCUACGGGAGGCAGCAGUAGGGAAUCUUCCACAAUGGACGAAAGUCUGAUGGAGCAACGCCGCGUGAGUGAAGAAGGUUUUCGGAUCGUAAAACUCUGUUGUUGGAGAAGAAUGUAUCUGAUAGUAACUGAUCAGGUAGUGACGGUAUCCAACCAGAAAGCCACGGCUAACUACGUG